AUUUCGCAACACCUGAAAAAUUGCUGCCAGAAAAAAAACGAAAUAGAGGCAAAAAGUACAUAUAUGGGUCGGUCUCUCAACGCCAGCAAGCGGAAUAUUUCAAAAAGCCCAAUGAGCUUGCAACAAUACCAAUUCCAAUCGUACAUAAUUUGUACCACAAAAUGGUUUAUGGAACCAUCGACAGACGGGCCAACGGAGCGAUCAGUCCAUCCCCCCGCGUACUCAGGGUCCACGGCGGUCGGGACUUGCGAGACAUGUUUUAGGCCUCUUCUUCAAGAUGCUCUCUGCUUGAGUAACUUCUGAGGAUAACAAUGCCCAGCGACUUUAUCGACUUGAAUUAUCGGUAAAACGGAAUUAUUACCGAAAACUGUCUCUGUUCAUAAAAAUACGAAUCAACGCAAUAAUUCGAAAGAAAAACUGAAACAAGCAAUCCAUGCCCCACAAAACCCCAAAUGUCAAGUUCGAUGUCGUGUGAGAAUACUGGAAAAAUAUCAGUAUAGUUCGGACUGUCGGAAGUUAACCACAUAAAAAUAAAAUUCUAAAUUUCUAAAUUUUGAAAAAUAUCUAUUUCGGUUUUUUUUUUCAAUUAGGUUUAAGCAUAAAAGUGAUUUGUUUUUUUUUUAGUUUUUAAAGUUAAGCAUAAAGUGAAUAAGGUCACUAACCAUACAGUAUACUGUAUGGUUAGUGAUAAGAUACAACAUAAUAAUACUUCUCCAAGAUACACAAGGCAUAAAAAUACUUCUCCAAGAUACACAUCUAUUGAUUGUUCAACAAGAGACGCACGCGAAGAGUUCACAUCAUACAUACCUGGCAAAAAAAAAAACUACAAAUCAUACGGCUGUAAACUGUGGCGGGUCAAUAAGGUACAACACGGCUUCUUCGGAUAGUUUUUCUACACAAACCUACAUAAAUACGGGCACUCUACGUCCAUAUUCAUAAAUACCUGGCAAAAAAAAACUACAAAACUUACGGCUGUAAACUGUGGUGGCACAAUCGGGUACAACACGGCUUCUUCGGAUAGUUUUUUACACACCCCUACAUAAAUACGGGAAUGGAUCUCAGGGCCCCGAGAAGACUCGCAAGUAGAACCAAUACUUUGUUCGACACUUAUUCGGCAAUCGGAAAAUAAAGACUGUGUUCAUCGGGUACACGUUCAGAUGUGUGACUGAUAAAAAUAUAUUUUGUUACUAAUAAUUAUAUUACUCGUGAUUAUAUUUUGAUACUAAAGUACACAAAGAUGUUUAAUUAUUUUCCUGAAUCAGAAUGGGAUAUACUCGCAGCUGUAUAAAAUCCCCCGAGAGAAAGGUAUUCAAGAUUUCAUCUUUAGUUUUACAGAUAUUUCCAAUGCAAACAUGUAUUAUUUAAAUAAAAGAAUUUGUACGUUGUUCCAACCAAC